rnacentral:siRNA from 1 species
AUCUCCAACUCGUCUUCAGUGUCC